CCUCUGUUGCAUGAAUCAUAUGCUCAGAGAACUUGAUUGAAUUGGUCUGAGAGGAUGACCAGAAGCCAACAGUUUUUCCGAAACUGCCAAGGUCAUUACAAAACGCAACUCAGACUGAAAAUCAUUGAAUAAAGGGAAACCAAAUCCAUGAACCCCUUUUUCAGCAAAAAAUUACUGAAAGAUCGACACUUAGAGAACAGAGAAAUGAAUCAAAAGGAAGAGUUCAGAAAUGAAGACGCUGCGGUGAAAUAAUUAUUGAGGGGUUCACACAAGUGAUGGCUGCUCCUGGUCCCUCCUUUUGUCACGUCAUCCCUGACAAGCUCUUCUUCAGCUGAAAGACUUGACAAUGAGAAUGGUGACCUAGCUUACCAGUCUGCUCUGGGUUUCUAAAAGAGUGCCGGAAGUAUGGACUAGAAGACUAGGGAAAGCCUUGUGAUACUAGAUUAGAGUUAGAAGGAUCAGUGUGAACUCAUGAUGGCAUUUAUAUAAACUGCACAGCUCCUGCCUCUGAGGCCCUGCCUUGCAGAUUCCAGUGCUUCAGCUGCCCGAGGCCCCAUCUCCUCCUCCUCAACUCAGAGGGACCGCUGCUCUCAGCUUAGAUUCCUGAUCGCUACACUGCGAGCAGGACACUCUGAUUCCUCAGUGCUUCAAGCCAAGUUGAGUGACUGAGUGUGGACUUUGUAAUGGUUACUAAUCCUUGGCAGUCUUGGCAGUACUGUCUGAAAUCUGCACACCCUUCGUGAAUUACAAAAUUAUUGCCUGACAGCUGCUAAGUGGCCUCAGUGAAAUGAGUUGUUCCCUUUGAUCAAAUGCAUGGGAGAUAAAAAUGACCAAUGGCUACCAGGUUUUACAGAGAAACAGUUUAAAACCAUCUUUCAGACUGUAUUACUUUGUCACUUUAGAAAUGAGUCACAGAGUGUGAGCAAAUAAAAUAUGUUUACUACUUAUUUCUUUUCUGGCAAAGAAACACUUUAAGUCCUUGGGGGUAAGAGGCCCAUAUACUUUCAAAAACAAUACAGCAAGGCAAAUUAAAAUAAACAGCAAACUUCUUAGGUAGACUUUCUGCCGGUCUCUUCAAGGACUCCUGAUCCUGCCGCGUUGGAGCCCCAGAAGGUUGAUGAAGGGUAGCUGCUGCCCCCUAGUGUAGGACUUCUUGUUACUGCAGGCAUCUCCAGUAGCCCACUGCCAGAUGCAUGGGAAACAAACAAAGGUGCUAUGUUUAAGUGAUGCAGAUAAUUCAGAACUUUUAAAAGUGUAUCAUUCUCUUAGAAUGAGUAGCUAUAACACUUAUUUGUAAUUGUUUGAAGAAAAAGUCGUAUAAAUGUUUUCCUGUCAUUGCUUCAAAUUUGAUGUUCUCAUAUCAUUUUCUGCUUUUUCCAUUUCAGGGCUGCACACCUAAUGUGCAAAG